rnacentral:lncRNA from 1 species
UUUCAAAUAGCCCGCUAUAGCUCCGCUAUAGCACGCUAUAGCGUUUACAAAAGGUCUUGCGCUAAGAGACUUUGGUCCAAACAAAUGAACAAACAUUUUAAAUAGCGCGCUAUAGCUCCGCUAUAGCACGCUAUAGCAUUUGAAAGAGGUCCGACGCUAAGAUGCUUAGCGCGCUAUUUAAAACUUUGGUGAUAACCUUACUUGAUAAGGAUCACAAAUCGCAGGAUAAUUCACUCUGUAGGGGAAUUCAAUUACAGAGUGGGCUUGUCUUGAGGUGGAAGAAAGAGUUGGGAAAGGGGAUAAAAUGAGCGAGCUAUCGAUUACAACUUCGCUGCCGAUCUGAAGAACGAGUCGUGCUAUAAGUACGUAGUCCAACUAGAGAGGCCAACGGCCCACUAGCCCUAUUCCUAUUACAAGGCCCCAAAGCCCAACAGCCUCUAUUCACUCGUGCCCCUUUACUCCCUUGCCUCGCCACCCAUAUGCUCUUGGUCGCUUACAGUGCCGCCCGCUGGAAAUCCAGCAUGCCCCCAUGCUGGUGCCGCCGGAUAGCGUUUCUUCAGGACUUCAUAAUCUUCCCACGUAGCUGCUGCUUCCGGAAGACCCGACCACUGGACCCGGAUUUGCACGUGCGCGGCGUUGCCUUUCUUCACCAUCUUCCGUUCGAGGACUUGCACAGGAACCAAAUUACCUGCAGACAGAUCCACUUGAGUUGGGAGUUCAGAAAACACUGGAGUAUGAGCAGGUUUGUGUUCCUUUAGCUGAGAUACAUGAAACACUGGGUGGAUUUGUGCACCCUCAGGCAGCAAUAACUUGUACGUUGCUGGUCCAAUGCAUUCCAAGACCUCAAAUGGCCCAUAGUACUUAUAUGCCAGCUUAGGACACGGCCUGUUGACCACAGAAUGUUGAGCAUAUGGCUAGAGCUUCAGAUACACAUAGUCACCCACUGAAAAUGAUCUGUCCGAUCUGCGUGCAUCUGCAUAGUGUUUUAUUUUUGCUUGAGCUCUCAUUAAGUUAGCUUUUAAGACUGCUGAGUGAGCCUGGUGUUCCCUGAGCCACUGUUCAACUUCAAUGUUGUCAGAUUGGAGCAGAGAAGAAAAGAAUCCAUAGCUAGGAUUAUACCCAUACAAGGCCUUGAAAGGAGAGCAUCCCAAGGAAGAAUGGAAAUUGGUAUUGUACCAGAAUUCAGCAAGAGGAAGCCAAGUCUGCCAUUUGGUUGGAGUAUCAUGUACUGCACACCUCAAAUACAUUUCCAAGCACUGAUUGACUCUCUCACUCUGACCAUCAGUUUGUGGGUGGUAUGCAGUAGACAUGUGCAACUUGGUGUCCCAUAGUUUGAACAGAUCCCUCCAAAAGUUGCUUGUGAAAACCUUGUCUCUGUCAGAUACUAUAGUAAGUGGAGGUCCAUGCAAUUUAACCACUGCCUCCAAAAAUGCUUUGGCCACAACAGGAGCAGAAAAGGGAUGUUUAAGAGGAAUGAAAUGGGCAUAUUUAGUAUGUCUAUCAACCACCACCAAUAUGACAUUGUACCCAGCAGAUUUAGGGAGUCCUUCGAUGAAAUCCAUAGUCACUUGCUGCCAAGGGCCCUCAGGAAUAGGCAAAGGAUUCAGAAGGCCAGGGUACUUGCAAUGUUCAUGUUUUGCUUUCUGACAAAUGUCACAUUGUUGCACAUAUUCAGUCACAUCAUUCUUCAAUCCUGACCAAGCAAACAGUUUGUCAACUCUCUGGUAAGUAGCAAGUAUCCCCGAAUGGCCUCCCAUUGCACUAUCAUGAAAUGCAGAUAUUAAUUUGGUUUUUAGAGCUGAAUUUGCUCCAAUCCAAAUUCUAUCUUGAAAUUUGAUUAUCCCUUGCUGCAAGGAAAAUCCUUCUGCAUUCUCAGUAGAAACUGCUAGCUGUUGUAUUAAUUGUUGUGCUUUAGGGUCCACUUCAUAAGAAUUCACCACCUCUUGCAUCCACACCGGUUGACUCUGAGAAGUUGCAGACACCGCAAGCAGAUGUCCUACUCUUGAUAAUGCAUCAGCCACAGUGUUUUCAGUCCCCUUUUUAUACUGAAACUGAAACUGAAGUCCCACCAGUUUAGUCAUGGCUUUUCGUUGAAGAUCAAAUGUGAGAAUUUGAUCCCCUAACUGACACAAACUCUGAUGAUCGGUUUUGAUAAUAAAAGGUCCUCUUUGCAAGUAAGCUCUCCAUUUCUCCACUGCCAUCAUGAUAGCUAAAAACUCUUUCUCAUAUAUGGACAGUUGCUGAUUCUUAAUGCCCAGUGCUUUACUGUAGAAUGCUACAGGAUGUCCUUGUUACAAAAGAACAGCUCCAAUACCCGUUGAGCAUGCAUCUGUUUCAAUGGUGAACUGCUUAUCAAAGUCGGGUAACAACAACACAGGAGUAGUGGACAUAGCAACUUUCAGUUUAUCAAAAGUCUGUUGAGCCGCCUCGGACCAUGCAAAAUUAUUUUUCUGCAGUAGCUGUGUCAGAGGUUUUGCAAUAAUACCAUAAUGCUGCACAAACUUCCUGUAAUACCCGGUGAGACCCAGAAAUCCUCGGAGUUCUGUGACAUUUUGAGGAACAGGCCACUCCAACAUCACUUUAGUUUUCUCAGGAUCUGUAGCCACCCCUUUAUCUGAGAUAAUAUGACCCAAAUACUCUAAUUGUUGUUGAGCAAAAGAGAAUUUGCUCAUCUUAGCAUAAAACUGGUUUUAUCUCAAAAUUUGCAGCACUUCUCUCAGGUGAGCUAUAUGGUCCACUAGAGACUGGUUGAACACCAAGAUGUCAUCCAUGAAGGAUAUGACAUACUUUUUGUUCCCUUUGGACAAGUACAAAUUCAUGUUACCCUGGAAAGUACCCGGAGCUGUAGCAAGUCCAAACGCCAUGACCUUGAACUGAUAAUGACCAUUAUGGGUUCGAAAAGCUGUUUUAUGUUCAUCUUCAGGUACCAUUCUGAUAUGGUGGUAACCUGCUCUUAGAUCCAACUUUGUAAACCACUUAGUGCCUGCCAACUCAUCUAAUAGUUCAUCCACCACAGGCAUAGGAAACCUACUCUUCACCGUGAUGGAGUUAAGUUUCCUGUAAUCCACACAGAAUCUCCAUGUGCCAUCUUUCUUUUUUACCAGUAACACGGGAGAGGCAAAAGGACUGACACUAGGGGUUAUCAAUCCCGCUUCUAGCAUCUCAGCCACUUGUUUUUCAAUUUCAUCCUUUUGAAGAGGAGAGUAUCUGUAAGGUCUUACAUUCACUGGAAGAGCCCCAGGUACCAGGUGUAUGGCAUGAUCUAGGGGUCUUGAAGGGGGUAAUGUUUUAGGAUCUUGGAACACAUCCGCAAAUUCUUGUAUCACUACUUGCACCUCAUUCGGAAUUUCAUUUGGUGUUUUUGACAUCACAGGAGUGAUCAAAGCAGUUGCCCAAAUGUCAUUACCAGUGUGCCAUCUCAUGGCUUGCUCAACUGAUACUUCUUGUAACACCGGGUUGGCUGGAGGUAACAAGCCUUGCAAGGUUAUGAGCUGGUCUUGAAAUUGGAACCUCACCCAUUUUUCUUUCCACUGACAAGUCAUUUCACCCCAUUGCUCUAGCCAAUCCAUCCCCAGGAUCAUAUCAUAUCCUCCUAGGUCUAGUACUUUCAUUGGGUAGCUAAAAGUGUGGCCCUGAACCCACCAGUGCAGCUCAGGCACCACUGAUUUGCACUGUAGCAUUUCCCCAUUUGCCACCUUCACCUGCAGUGGUGUUUUCAACUCUUGGUGUGUGAGCUGCGCUCGGGCUAACAUCUCAAUAUCUAUAAAGCUGUGAGUGCUGCCCGAAUCCAACAGAAUUAGCACAACUUGAUUCCCAAUUAAGGCUCGCAACCUGAUUGUCCUUGGAUGAUCUGCCCCUGAAAUGGCAUUUACCGACAGCUGCAUCUCUUGUAAGGCUGCUUCCUGUUCCUCAACUGCAUCAAGCACUUCAUCAGAUAGAAUAGUAGGGCCUUCACAUUGCAAUGCUUGCACAGUUGCCUGAACCGGGUGCUUAGCACACACGUGAGUUGGUGUGUAUUUUUCUCCACAACUAUAACAAAGACCAUUAGCCCUUCGAAACUCUUUCAGCUGUCUAGCUUUCCAUAGAUCUCCUGCAGCCACUGGUUGAGCCUUGUAAUCAGUUUUUGAACCCAUUGCUUUGUGGUUUGUCCAUUUAACAUGUUUGCUUCUAGCCAAGACCUCUUCCUGAAUACCAGCAUACAUCGCAGCUUCGCUGACUGUCGCUGGUAUUUGCAUCUCCACCGCAGCUCUCAACUCCUCUCUCAAACCCAACACAAACCUAGUUACCAGGAAUGUGUCGCUAACUGUGUUUUCAUACAGCAGCAACUGGUAAGUUAAUUGCAUAAACUCUCUUUUGUACUCUGCCACCGACCCUGACUGUUUUAGCAUCAUCAACUCUUUCAUUUUGUGUCUGUGCACGUUGACAUCGAACUCUGACAUCACAGCAGAGCGAAACUCAUGCCAAUUAGGCCACUGAUGAGUCAGUUUAUACGCAUGAAACCAAUUGGCCGCAUCGCCACACAUGUGCAAUGUAGCAGAAGUAACUCUAAAGAAUUCAGGAAUCUCGUACAAGGAAAAAUAAGCUUCACAUCCGUCGAGCCAUAUGCGUACAUCACUACCAUCAAAACGGGGAAAUCCAUUUUGGGCAUCCAAGGUCGACGUGGAUGUUGCUCUUCACAAGAGGCUACAAAUGCUACUUUUUGCUUCUCCAAAUUUGACUGCUGACGCUGUUGCUCCGUAGGUGCCGGAGGGUUAAGUGGAUGUGUUUUGUUCAGGGAAUUUACGAUAGGAGGAGUACCCAUUAUGCUGUCGUUGGCUGAGGGUGAUGAUUCGGAUGGCGAAUGCUUGGACAUCUGAUCCUUCGCGGCCGCCACUUGUUCCUGUCGCACCUCGCCAAUUGACUUCAUUGUCAGGUUCACGUUACUCUGAAUCACAUCGAUGCGUUCCACCUGAGUGUUGAACUUCUGAUCCAACUCAUCGAUCCUGGCGAAGAGCUCAUCUAUCUGGUUGAUUUUGUCCCCCAAACCUGCCAGGACUUCCAGCUUCUUCAUCACUCGCGACUCGAACGCCUCCAUGGAGCCGAGCAUGAACUCCGUCUGCGCGCUUGCCUUGGUGGGGGCCGUAGUGACCGAGGUCUACCGCCGCCUAGAUCGGCGAGUACUGGAGCGCUGCUUCUCCGCCUCCGCCCACGCUCUAUCCUCUGCAACCGAUCUCCCAUGCCUCCCGAACAACGCCAAUCUUGCCGCACCUCGGAAUUUUACACCCAGUGAACGGACCCUGGGAAACCUUGUGCUGACCCGAUCCGCCGUCGAAUGCACCCUGCCGCCACUCAGAAGCGCCGCCUGCGUCGCACACGAUAAGCGACCGCUCACCGCCGCCGCGAGCUCCGCCUCCGCGUCGGAAUUUUACAGGAGAACCCAACCUCCGCGCAGUCGAGCCCGAUUCGCCGCCCCGCCACCAAUCGCCCGAAUCUGAUACCAAUUGUGAUAACCUUACUUGAUAAGGAUCACAAAUCGCAGGAUAAUUCACUCUGUAGGGGAAUUCAAUUACAGAGUGGGCUUGUCUUGAGGUGGAAGAAAGAGUUGGGAAAGGGGAUAGAAUGAGCGAGCUAUCGAUUACAACUUCGUUGCCGAUCUGGAGAACGAGUCGUGCUAUAAGUACGUACUCCAACUAGAGAGGCCAACGGCCCACUAGCCCUAUUCCUAUUACAAGGCCCCAAAGCCCAACAACCUCUAUUCACUCGUGCCCCUUUACUCCCUUG